UUCGACACCAGCAAAAAACUGUGGUUCCUUGCUUAACUAAAACGGUUGAAUUUGUUGCGCUGUAUCCACUAAGAUAUUACAUUUUCAUUAUGCCACCGUAUCCAAAACGAACGGAAGAACGAGUGCAAUUCCGUUCUGCACAAGUAGCCGUAUUAUUAUAGAGAUCCCAAAUUGUUUCUAUUUAAGCUGCGCUUUUUUUUGCACCUGGUGGCCGUGGAGCAUCUUUAUAGUUCGCGGAUUACUACGAGCAAAAGCUUCUCUCGCCGGUCUGGACAAGGAAUUAUCAUGGCUAUGCAGAUGAAGUACGUAUGCGGCAAUGCAUGUCAUGGAUUCUCGUUAUGAUUCUGAAUAAUAAUAACUACGCAAUCGGCAAUCGUCUGGAGUUAGAGCAGGCACAAGCAGCUUGCAGUUUCGUGUUUUUAUUACCGAUGUAUCUGGCCGAACGAAUUCAGCCAUACCUGCGUAACUCGCUUGGGCGCGAUUGUGAUGGACAUCUAAGAACUCCCUGACAGCGAACCCAACGAAGAAAGAAGUUUCGGCCAAUCCAAUACAGGGCAUCGUAACAAUUUUCUGCCAGGAUUUCGUCGAUGUCGUCCCGCGCUAUCUGUCAUUUUGAUGACUAUUGCCUAUUAAAGAAUCACAAAUCAUAUUUCAACGGUUCGCCUUUAUCUGUCGACUGUCCCCAUCCCAUCCUAUCUGCUAAUUGCUACCGCACUAAAAUUGCAUCGAUCUGCUUGUAUCGGAGAUACACUGGAGCAGUUGAUGUACACGUACAACUCCUAAAGGAGCAGGAUCUCGUUUCACGGACUGGCCAUAAGGGAGUCAAAACUUGGUUAGCUUUGAAAUUUCCGACCAUCCGAAAAGUUGGUUCCAACGGCCUGCACAGCGUGAAGAUGGACAUGCAGCGCUACCAUCUGAAGCGUCCUACCUGCAAUAAAAUUAGAGAAAGCAGAAUAAUGGGUAAAAUAUUACGGUCUUCGCUGCGACGCUGCCGUCCACGGCCAGUUACUCCAUGUUGUGGUUUUCGAACUGGCUGUAACUUGUACUCCCUCCGGUUGCAACUUCGGGCACAACUUUUGGAUCAGCGUCCGGUGCUGGGGCUCCAGCGGUUGCGUUGUGGCGCUAAAAAAUAAGAUGGUCAACAUUACGGAAAUGAUAAUCGUAUUUUGCAAUAUGAACCUCAAAAGCGAUUAUUAUUCCGUAAUGUUCCCGGAUUAUCCACCUACACAUCAGGAAAAAUAAGUCCGCUCUUUCCCCCUUUUCGGUGGAAUAAUGGGUAAAAUAUUACGUUCUUCGCUGCGACGCUGCCGUCCACGGCCAGUUACUCCAUGUUGUGGUUUUCGAACCGGCUGUAACUUGUACUCCCUCCGGUUGCAAAUUCGGGCACAACUUUUGGAUCAGCGUCCGGUGCUGGGGCUCCAGCGGUGGCGUUGUGGCGCUAAACAAUAAGAUGCUCAACGUUACGGAAAUGAUAAUCGUAUUUUGCAAUACGAACCUCAAAUUCGAUUAUGAUUCCGUAACGUUCCCGGAUUAUCCACCUACACAUCAGGAAAAAUAAGUCCGCUCU